CUCAAUGAAAUUUAAUAGCUGCAAUUUUGUACUAAGGUAGCAUAAUCAUUUGUUUUUUAAUUAAAAACUAGAACGAAAGAUUUAACAUUUUUAUUUCUUUAUUUUAUACAACUAUUUUAAUUUUUUUAAAUAUAAAAAAAUAUUUAUAUAUAAAGAAGACGACAAGACCCUGUUGAACUUUACUAUUGUUUAACUGGGGUAGUUAAUUAAAUAAAAUUUUAAUUUAAAAUAUAAAAAUUCCUAAUAUAAUUAAAUAAUCAAGUUACCAUAGGGAUAACAGCGUAAUAAUUUUCUUAAGAUCUUAUUUAAAAAAUCAUUUACGACCUCGAUGUUGAAUUAAUAAUCUAUUAAAUGCAAUAAUUUAAUAAGAAAGUCUGUUCGACUU
rnacentral:rRNA from 1 species